rnacentral:rRNA from 1 species
GAUGAACGCUGGCGGCGUGCCUAACACAUGCAAGUCGAGCGGACGGACGAGAAGCUUGCUUCGCUCAUGUUAGGGGCGGACGGGUGUGUAACGCGUGUAUAACGUACCUAUAAGACUGGGAUAACUUCGGGAAACCGGAGCUAAUACCGGAUAAUAUUUUGAACCGCGUGGUUCAAUAGUGAAAGACGGUCGUGGUGUCACUUAUAGAUGGAUCCGCGCUGCAUUAGCUAGUUGUUGAGGUAACGGCUUACCAAGGCAACGAUGCAUAGCCGACCUGCGAGGGUGAGUAGCCACACUGGGACGGAGACAGGCUCCAGACUCAUAGGGGAGGGAGCCGUAGGGAAUCUGGCGGCAGGGGCGGAGGCCUGAGGGCGCAACGCCGCGUGAGGGAGGAAGGUCUCCGGGUCGUAGAACUCUGUUAUUGGGGUAGAACAUGUGUGUGAGUGACAGUGAGCAUCUUGGCCGUAACUGAGUAGAGAGGCACGGCUUACCUCCGG